CCAACGGGUGGCAGCAGUGGGGAAUUUUGGACAAUGGGCGCAAGCCUGAUCCAGCCAUGCCGCGUGAGUGAAGAAGGCCUUCGGGUUGUAAAGCUCUUUCGGUGGGGAAGAAAUUGCUUAGGUUAAUACCCUGAGUAGAUGACGGUACCCGCAUAAGAAGCACCGGCUAACUACGUGCCAGCAGCCGCGGUAAUACGUAGGGUGCGAGCGUUAAUCGGAAUUACUGGGCGUAAAGCGUGCGCAGGCGGUUGUAUAAGUCAGAUGUGAAAUCCCCGGGCUCAACCUGGGAACUGCAUUUGAGACUGUACGGCUAGAGUGUGGCAGAGGGGGGUAGAAUUCCACGUGUAGCAGUGAAAUGCGUAGAGAUGUGGAGGAAUACCGAUGGCGAAGGCAGCCCCCUGGGCCAAUACUGACGCUCAUGCACGAAAGCGUGGGGAGCAAACA
rnacentral:rRNA from 1 species